rnacentral:rRNA from 1 species
GUGGGGAAUAUUGGACAAUGGGCGAAAGCCUGAUCCAGCCAUGCCGCGUGUGUGAAGAAGGUCUUCGGAUUGUAAAGCACUUUAAGUUGGGAGGAAGGGCAGUAAGUUAAUACCUUGCUGUUUUGACGUUACCGACAGAAUAAGCACCGGCUAACUCUGUGCCAGCAGCCGCGGUAAUACAGAGGGUGCAAGCGUUAAUCGGAAUUACUGGGCGUAAAGCGCGCGUCGGUGGUUCGUUAAGUUGGAUGUGAAAGCCCCGGGCUCAACCUGGGAACGGCAUCCAAAACUGGCGAGCUAGAGUACGGUAGAGGGUGGUGGAAUUUCCUGUGUAGCGGUGAAAUGCGUAGAUAUAGGAAGGAACACCAGUGGCGAAGGCGACCACCUGGACUGAUACUGACACUGAGGUGCGAAAGCGUGGGGAGCAAACAGGAUUAGAUACCCGAGUAGUCC